CCUACGGGAGGCAGCAGUGGGGAAUUUUGGACAAUGGGCGCAAGCCUGAUCCAGCAAUGCCGCGUGAGUGAAGAAGGCCUUCGGGUUGUAAAGCUCUUUUGUCAGGGAAGAAACGGUGAGGGCUAAUAUCUCUUGCUAAUGACGGUACCUGAAGAAUAAGCACCGGCUAACUACGUGCCAGCAGCCGCGGUAAUACGUAGGGUGCAAGCGUUAAUCGGAAUUACUGGGCGUAAAGCGUGCGCAGGCGGUUUUGUAAGUCUGUCGUGAAAUCCCCGGGCUCAACCUGGGAAUUGCGAUGGAGACUGCAAGGCUAGAAUCUGGCAGAGGGGGGUAGAAUUCCACGUGUAGCAGUGAAAUGCGUAGAGAUGUGGAGGAACACCGAUGGCGAAGGCAGCCCCCUGGGUCAAGAUUGACGCUCAUGCACGAAAGCGUGGGGAGCAAACAGGAUUAGAUACCCUGGUAGUCCACGCCCUAAACGAUGUCUACUAGUUGUCGGGUUUUAAUUAACUUGGUAACGCAGCUAACGCGUGAAGUAGACCGCCUGGGGAGUACGGUCGCAAGAUUAAAACUCAAAGGAUUGACGG
rnacentral:rRNA from 1 species